AGCCGUCCCAACGGCUCUAAAAAGUCCAUUAAGUUGGGAGCGUCCGGCAGAAAUGCCGGGGUUGGA
rnacentral:ribozyme from 2 species